rnacentral:rRNA from 1 species
UACGUAGGGCGCAAGCGUUGUCCGGAAUUAUUGGGCGUAAAGAGCUCGUAGGCGGUUUGUCGCGUCUGCUGUGAAAUCCCGAGGCUCAACCUCGGGCUUGCAGUGGGUACGGGCAGACUAGAGUGCGGUAGGGGAGACUGGAAUUCCUGGUGUAGCGGUGGAAUGCGCAGAUAUCAGGAGGAACACCGAUGGCGAAGGCAGCCCCCUGGGUCAAGAUUGACGCUCA